rnacentral:rRNA from 1 species
GACGAACGCUGGCGGCGUGCUUAACACAUGCAAGUCGAACGGAAAGGCCCUGCUUUUGUGGGGUGCUCGAGUGGCGAACGGGUGAGUAACACGUGAGUAACCUGCCCUUGACUUUGGGAUAACUUCAGGAAACUGGGGCUAAUACCGGAUAGGAGCUCCUGCUGCAUGGUGGGGGUUGGAAAGUUUCGGCGGUUGGGGAUGGACUCGCGGCUUAUCAGCUUGUUGGUUGGGUAGUGGCUUACCAAGGGUUUGACGGGUCGCCGGCCUGAGAGGGUGACCGGCCACAUUGGGACUGAGAUACGGCCCAGACGCCUACGGGAGGCAGCAGUGGGGAAUAUUGCACAAUGGGCGGAAGCCUGAUGCAGCAACGCCGCGUGUGGGAUGACGGCCUUCGGGUUGUAAACCGCUUUCGCCUGUGACGAAGCGUGAGUGACGGUAAUGGGUAAAGAAGCACCGGCUAACUACGUG